rnacentral:rRNA from 1 species
CCUACGGGAGGCAGCAGUGGGGAAUAUUGGACAAUGGGCGCAAGCCUGAUCCAGCCAUGCCGCGUGAGUGAUGAAGGCCCUAGGGUUGUAAAGCUCUUUCACCGGUGAAGAUAAUGACGGUAACCGGAGAAGAAGCCCCGGCUAACUUCGUGCCAGCAGCCGCGGUAAUA